UACGUAGGGGCCGAGCGUUGUCCGGAGUUAUUGGGCGUAAAGCGCGCGCAGGCGGCCUCGCGCGCCCGACGUGAAAGCCCCCGGCUUAACCGGGGAGGGUCGUUGGGGACGGCGGGGCUUGAGGGCGGGAGAGGUCGGUGGAAUUCCCGGUGUAGUGGUGAAAUGCGUAGAGAUCGGGAGGAACACCUGUGGCGAAGGCGGCCGACUGGGCCGACCCUGACGCUGAGGCGCGAAAGCCAGGGGAGCGAACGGG
rnacentral:rRNA from 1 species